AUAGUCAGGGGGAGCUGAGUUUC
rnacentral:miRNA from 1 species